CAGUCGCCGCGGUAAUACGGAGGGUGCAAGCGUUAAUCGGAAUUACUGGGCGCAAAGCGUGCGUAGGCGGUUCGUUAAGUCUGUUGUGAAAUCCCCGGGCUCAACCUGGGAAUGGCAGUGGAUACUGGCAAGCUUGAGUAUUGGAGAGGUGAGUGGAAUUUCCGGUGUAGCGGUGAAAUGCGUAGAUAUCGGAAGGAACACCUGUGGCGAAAGCGGCUCACUGGACAAUUACUGACGCUGAUGCACGAAAGCUAGGGGAGCAAACAGGAUUAGAUACCCGGGUAGUCCCUGUCUCUUAUAC
rnacentral:rRNA from 1 species